GGAAACCAGUUGCCAGUUAACAAGGAUAUGAAACCGGACUGCAGUCAACGCCACAGUUUUAAUAAGGCUCAACGCGUGCCAGGACGCUAAAUGGCCAUCGAGGAGCUCAUCAUCCACCAAAACUUGAUCCUUUCAGUGCCUGUGCGUAAUUUACAUAAUAAAAUGUUUACUGUUUUUUUUAUGAGUCACCCACACACCCACACACCCACUUACACAUACACAACCACACAUCAGUUUCAAGUCUCGAUCCCAGCAUGAAAAAUUGCAUAUUAAUGUAAAUCACAGCGGCAAAAAUGUUCAUAGGGUUGUCGCCAUUUUUAUGAGUGCUACUACAAAAUUGACACUCGAAUCUCUAAACGCCUACACAACAAUAAAAAACAUACAAAAAAGAAAAAAAUGUUGAAAUACUGAGUGCUCGACUAGGAGAUACCAUAUAAGCUAAACAUGCCUAUAUUAUUUACCUUGAGUCCGAGGAAGAUAUUAUCGCCAGGAAGAUAGUGUGACGCCAAUACAUUGACAUCUUUCUCAGAUAAACAAAUAAUGGCAAAAGGGAAAAAAUAAAUUCUCUAUGUGUACAAAUCUCCAAAGGGACGCUUAUAUCUAUCUCCCAGCCAAAAGGAGGAACAGAAGAAAUAUAGUUAUAUCCAGAAAUAUUGCAGAAGGUAAACCUACGAGCAGGCUAAGCUUCAAGUAGUUUUUCGGCACUUGUUAAAACACGAUGCGCCCACAAAGGACACCGCUCAUUAAUCCGCAGGAAAUACAGGACAUCAAAGGCGCCUGCUUCUGCCCGCAUAGCCUGCGCCUAAUUAAAUAUUGACAAAUCAAUUUGAGUUAAACGAUUUGUGCGCAGCUGCGAACACGAGGACAGGGACAUUAGCGAUACCCUUGCAGCCGCCGACGACUUUGGCCAUUGGCGAAAGACAAACAAAGCUGCGAUUCGCUUACGACUUGAUUUCAUUUUAAUCGAUUUAAAUUCCAUUUGACUCCUGGCCAUUUGUACAGCCAUUUUUUCUUGCACGCCAGCCAGAACGACAGCCGGAUGGAGGAGCAGCCAAUGAAAAACCUUUUCACAUGCAAAUUUUUGGUGAGCAAACAUCACGUAGAGCCAUCAUCAAUAUGGCGCUAGCUGGGAGAGGAAGGGCACUUUGAUUGCCAUACGAUUGGCAUGUGAUUUUUAUGCUCGUAGCAACUGCUUUGCAUUUCAUUCUGCAUUUGAAUUCGAUUUGAUAAAUUUUAUGCUGAUUGGAAAACGCUGCUUAAUGUGUCCCCAGACGCUGCUCCGUCCGGGGAAUUUAAUUUGAUUUCUCGCUCUUGCAUUAUUUUCCAAGGUGGCCCAUUAUUGACUAUUAAUGUGAACGGAGAAUGCGAACAGUAAUCCCAAGCACCCGAGCCCCCACCAAUGCCAAACAAUGCUCCCUGAUGAAUGCAUUCGGCGCAUGCAGUCCCAUCAAAUUGGCGAUCCAGGCAUAGCCCAGGCUCUGUGGCGUCCCACAAAUUGCCGUGCGCCUCGCUGAUGUCUUCAUAACACACAUACCAACAAGCUAAGCGGUCAACUGGCUAACUGGCUUCGAUGCUUGGCUCCUCUCUGCUUACCAGUCCAUAUACAGAGCUCAGUUCGAUUACGUUUUCGUUAAAUGUAAAAUUUAUACGCCUCACGUCAAUUGUGACAGUUCACUCACUCACAUUGCAGCCAGCAGCGACAGGCGAUUCAUUGAAUGCCCAGGCAGACUUUGCAACCAAACUGGCCAACGAAUUUGUGAAUAUUACACCUACAGUGCUCACCCGCUAGGAAGGAUGUUACUCAUGAGAAACUCUCUAAUGAAAAUUCACUUGCAAUCUCAGAUUUUGUUUCCCAGAAAAGAUGGGAAAAAUCUAGAGGAUCACAAUUUUGUUUGUUAUUGGUUAACUGCUAUCAAUAACUACUGAAAAUAGAUUGAAAAGCAUAGCA